UGCCAGCCGCCGCGGUAAUACGGAGGGUGCAAGCGUUAAUCGGAAUUACUGGGCGUAAAGCGCGCGUAGGUGGUUCAUUAAGUCAGAUGUGAAAGCCCCGGGCUCAACCUGGGAAUUGCAUUUGAUACUGGUGGGCUAGAGUAUAGUAGAGGGAGUGGGAAUUUCCGGUGUAGCGGUGAAAUGCAUAGAUAUCGGAAGGAACAUCAGUGGCGAAGGCGCAUUCCUGGACUCAUACUGACACUGAGGUGCGAAAGCGUGGGGAGCAAACAGGAUUAGAUA
rnacentral:rRNA from 1 species